ensembl:lncRNA
CUGGUUGUGUGUACUGACAUGUGACCUACUGGUUGUGUGUGUGUACUGACAUGUGACCUACUGGUUGUGUGUACUGACAUGUUUGUAACUGGUAGAUGCACACAAACUACAUGUUCAUGUUAUUCAAUGUAUGUAAAUUGUAAAGUAUUUUGUCCGUAAUGUCUUUCACGUUAUGGAACCCAGUAAGACUAGCUCUGUGAGGGUAGUCUAUAUACAGUAGGUCUGUGAGGGUAGUCUAUAUACAGUAGCUCUGUGAGGGUAGUCUAUAUACAGUAGCUCUGUGAGGGUAGUCUAUAUACAGUAGGUCUGUGAUGGUAGUCUAUAUACAGUAGGUCUGUGAGGGUAGUCUAUAUACACUAGCUCUGUGAGGGUUGUCUAUAUACACUAGCUCUGUGAGGGUAGUCUAUAUACAGUAGGUCUGUGAGGGUAGUCUAUAUACAGUAGGUCUGUGAGGGUAGUCUAUAUACACUAGCUCUGUGAGGGUUGUCUAUAUACACUAGCUCUGUGAGGGUAGUCUAUAUACAGUAGGUCUGUGAGGGUAGUCUAUAUACAGUAGCUCUGUGAGGGUAGUCUAUAUACAGUAGGUCUGUGAGGGUAGUCUAUAUACAGUAGGUCUGUGAGGGUAGUCUAUAUACAGUAGGUCUGUGAGGGUAGUCUAUACACAUCCAUACACACAGGGCCCUACUGUAGGUACUAUACAGCAUAUUGUUGUCCUAUUGAUCUCCCAUGAACCGUUCCUCUCAUUACUGUAACCACCACCACACACACACCAGCGAUACUUCCACUAGCUCAGCAACCUUCCCCCUCCUCUCACUGCGUCCCAAAUGGCACCCUAUUCUCUAUAGGGCACUACUAGGACUCUGGUCAAAAGUAGUACACUAUAUAGGGAAUCGGGUGCCAUUAGCGACCCACCCUCAGUCUCCACCUGGGCUUAACAACACAAACCCUAAUGGAGCCUAUGGAACCACACAAAACCCCUCCCUUUUCUGUACAGCUUGUCAAUCUCAAUGACAUCACAAUCGGAUUCAAUCAUUUGAUCAAAGAUGUAGUUGGAUCCUGCACCUGAUGGAGUAAUGACUAGCAAGACUGCCAGGAUCUCAGUUUAGCAAAGGAUGAUUGGUCAAAAGACUGCCACCUGAAUUCAACAGCAUAACUAAUUGGUCUGAUUUCUGCCACCCAACCAACCAA